GGGUAACUGCAUGCUUUUAGUGAUCAGUAAACAUCAAUGAUCAUGUAAUUUAAGGUAGGUGAAGGCACCUAUCCAUUUGAUAUGUAGCUAAGCAAACAACAUCAUUUAGUUUGCUUCAUCAGAGAUGAGGCUUUUGGAAAAAGCUUAGUAUCGGCAAGUCCUCGUCCUGGUAAAGUUGUCGGACUACUUUGUCAUCACGGAAAGCAAAUCAAACAAUAUUUGGAUGUAGCCAUCUAGUCUAUCCCCUGAAAGUUAGCUUGUUAACACCCUUUCUGCCAGUCACAUCCUGUUAUAGGUCCCCAAAACACUCACAUCCCUGGGUCGCUCCUCUUUUCAGUUCGCUGCUGCUAGCGACUGGAACGAGCUGCAACAAACACUCAAACUGGACAGUUUUAUCUCCAUUUCUUCAUUCCAAGACUCAAUCAUGGACACUCUUACUGACCGUUGUGGCUGAUUUGAGUGAUGUAUUGUUGUCUCUACCUUCUUGACCUUUGUGCUGUUGUCUGGGACCAACAAUGUUUGUAUCCUGUUUUGUUUUUCUACCAUGUUCUGCUACCAUGUUGUGUUUCUACCAUGUUGUGUUUCUACCAUGCUGUGGUGUCAUGUGUUGCUGCUAUGCUAUAUUGUUGUCUUAGGUCUCUCUUUUAGUAGUGUUGUCUCUCUUGUCGUGAUGUGAGUUUUGUCCUAUAUAAAUAAGAAUUUGUUCUUAAUUGACUUUCCUAGUUAAAUCAAGGUUAAAUAAAAAAUAAAACAAAUUGACAUUGAUUUGUUAUUAGCUAGCUAGCCAAUUUUACGUGGUCAAUCAAUCAAUUAAUGUAGCCUAUCUUGUCAGCAGAAAUCCUAAUGAAACACUCUUAAAAACAAUAUUGAAAUGGAGAUCAUGUCAGCUAAUUUCUCUAGGUAGGCCUACAUUGGUUUUAGAAAAAAAAAUGACACUAGGUUUACUUACCAGUAUAUGUUUAGCCAACUGUACAAAGUUUCUACCGGUAUCUUGCAAAGUAAACAUAAUCAGUCAUUAUGGCUCGUUUUCACUAACAAGCGGUACAUGACCGUGUGCCGGUUAGGCCACAGAGAGAGGCUCGCUUGUUGGCAGCACAGUUUGAUUGUGGGUCAAGAAUCCAGCAGAGCAAGUUUGUAGGAAGGUCUAGUUACAUUUUAGUCAUUUAGCAGACACUCUUAUCCAGAGCAACUUACAGUAGUGAGUGCAUACAUUUCAUACAUUUUAUUUUUGUACUGGCCCCCUGUGGGAAUUGAACCCACAACCCUGGCGUUGCACACACCAUGCUGGCAUUGCAAACACCAUGCUCUACCAACUGAGCCACAGGGAAGACCAGUUAUUCAAUUGGUAAAUAGUAAUAUGCUCUAAAACGCUCUGGUGACAAACAAACUUCACUGCCCUGUUUCCAAUCGUCCACAUGUCUGGGAGAAGCUAUUCAAGAAGAUACAUAGAGCUGUGAAAGCCUGUCAAGCAGAUGAAGAGGUCCCACUGAAGAGUAGUGGCUCUCAGUCCUGGUCCUGUAUUCAUUUGUGAUGCUAUCCUUGAUAUGAUCUUGCUAUUGUCACAUGCACAUGUGUGUGUACAUGCAUCUAUCCAAUGUUACCAUUAUUUGUUAUCAGGGAUAUUAUACUUUAGUAAUCCGCAAUGACCUGGUGAUGUAACAGUCAAAUAAUGACAUUAUCUUCCAUAUUCCUACAGACACCUUGUAACUGGUGAUUCCUUCAAAACUAUUCCCUACAGUUACGUGUAGGGCACUGCAAGGUUGGGUGACCAGGGCCAUCUGGGACUUCCUCCUGGAGGAAUUCAGAUGUGUGUGAAGGCUACCUGUGUCCUGCAUAACUUCAUGAGGAUGGACAGGAGGACCAGGAGGGGAUCUGCAGCUCGCCGCCGCGUGCCAGAGUAGAAGUCUGCUGCUCUGCAGGAUGUUUCAAGGAUGGGGUCCAACAACGUAGCAAGAGAGGCAAUCCGUGUGCAAGAGAUCUUCACCUCCUACUUCUUCGAAGAGGGUGAGGGUGCUGUUUAGUAAGCAGGCUCAGGCGUAUAACUGUGGCUCCUUCCACCUUCAAAGAAUAGGCAAGAGGGCCAACCAUGGAGAAUAGUUAUAUCAGCUGUGGUUCGUGAACCCCUCCUGCAUCUGAACUGGCUGACAUAUAGAGGGCACAGCAUGAUCAGAGGUAUGAUUUGAUGUGAGGAUGCCAACCCCCAGUCCUGUCAUCGCCACCUCACCUGCUUGAAGAUAACCUUCGGUCUGACGAGAGACACUAUUAUGUAAUUGUGAUGAACUGAGAGAAUAUUUAGGUAGCACUGUGAUUCAUUAAUCAUUUGCUGCCUUCCCUGCUCCUAUGUUCUUACCUCUUUCCCUUUCUGUCUUUUACACCUCUCUCACCACCUCCUCUUUCUUCCUCUGUUUUUAUAAUGCACAAUAUAGAUGUGCAUUGAAGUAAAGAUAAAACUUACAUUUAUAAUAUAAUAUUCCAAUUAUAAUAUUUAUAAUGCAUGUAUUUAUAACACUUGGAUAAUGAAAUUCUUUCAAUAAAGCAUUUCAAAUUCUCUACUGGUUGAAAUUAAGUCUCAUUUGAUGAAAUACCACACCUAUCCUGUGUUUAUCAGAUCCAUGCAGAUGAAGGAAAUUAGAUAUUGAGAUGACCUGUUGUUAGAGUAUUUACAUGAUGCAUAAGAAGUGUAGUGUGCUGAUUUUUUAAUUAUAUUUCUGUAUAUAUGAAUUACAAAUCGGCCUUUAACUAGUUAAAUCAUGUGUAACCAUUGAUAUCCCAGGACCAAGAUUGGUAAACACUGUUGAAGUGUAUAAUUGUAAUACAUACAUGCAUUGAAGACACGGCAUCAUUCAAAGACUGGAAUUUGAUACUCCUGGUAUUGGAUAUGACUGAAAAAUGAUCUCAAAGACAUUCAUACCUGAACUGCACCUUUAUUUGCCAAGGUAGAGUACAUGAUCAGUGAAUAUUUAUUAUUAUUAUAUAUAUUUUAAAUUUUUCACCCCUUUUUUCUCCCCAAUUUUGUGGUAUCUAAUUGGUAGUUACAGUCUUGUCUCAUCGCUGCAACUCCCGUACGGACUCGGGAGAGGCGAAGGUCGAGAGCCGUGCGUCCUCCGAAACACAAUCCAACCAAGCCGCACUGCUUCUUGACACAACGCCCAUCCAAACCGGAAGCCAUCCGCACCAAUGUGUCGGAGGAAACACCGUACACCUGGCGACAUGUGUCAGCGUGCACUGCGCCUGGCCCGUCACAGAAGUUACUAGUGCGCGAUGAGACAAGGAUAUCCCUGCCGGCCAAACCCUCCCUAACCUGGACGACGCUGGGCCAAUUGCGCACCGCCCCAUGGGCCUCCCAGUCGCGGCCGGCUGCGACAGAGCCUAGACUCGAACCCAGAAUCUCUUAGACCACUGCGCCACUCGGGAGGCCCAUGAUCAGUGAAUAUAUUAAAUGUACAGGCUACAAUGUGGGGAUCUCAUGCAUGGUAAUAACUACAUGUAUAUACGACUUGCAUCCUUGGCACAAAGUGAAAUUAUAUUGUACUCAAUCCAUAGGCUUCAUUAGUGUCAUUCAGGCUGUUUUGAAGUUGAUACAACUGGCUAUGAUAGCUGAGGUUCAUAGCUACGUGGGUGCUGAACUAAUAUGUAUACCAAACGUUUUAAGGUCCAUACACAGAUCGGCUACAUAGCGAGCUACACAUCCAGGUACCUUUAUCCUCCACUGCACAAUAAGCAAGAAAAUAGUUAGCUAGCUAUGUUAUUUCAU
rnacentral:lncRNA from 1 species